ensembl:lncRNA
GCUCAUUAUUAUGAAGGGGUUAGGACUGGGCGUCCUCUAGUGGACAAAGCGUGUGCGGAGUUUUCCGUCUUUCACUUCCCCCAGUGUUCCCUCUGGCUCUAAAACGGAACAAGUCCCGGGUCGUACUGUAGGAAGUCGCUCUCGUAACUUUUAGGAAAGUAACGUAGAUACACAGAAAGUCAGCCAUUCUCUUGGUGGUUUCCAUGGGAGAGCUGCUCGGAAAGUGAGGAGGAACUCCGUCAGGUGCCAUGGAAGCACAAACAAGAGCUAAAGGAUUCCCUUGUUGAUAUGUACAAAGCUAAUCCUAAAGUCAAUGAGGAACUGAAACAAAGGCUGCCGUCCCCUGUAAAGCGCCAUUGUUCAGAGACC